rnacentral:rRNA from 1 species
GAGCGGAUGAGAAGAGCUUGCUCUUCGAUUCAGCGGCGGACGGGUGAGUAAUGCCUAGGAAUCUGCCUGGUAGUGGGGGACAACGUUUCGAAAGGAACGCUAAUACCGCAUACGUCCUACGGGAGAAAGCAGGGGACCUUCGGGCCUUGCGCUAUCAGAUGAGCCUAGGUCGGAUUAGCUAGUUGGUGAGGUAAUGGCUCACCAAGGCGACGAUCCGUAACUGGUCUGAGAGGAUGAUCAGUCACACUGGAACUGAGACACGGUCCAGACUCCUACGGGAGGCAGCAGUGGGGAAUAUUGGACAAUGGGCGAAAGCCUGAUCCAGCCAUGCCGCGUGUGUGAAGAAGGUCUUCGGAUUGUAAAGCACUUUAAGUUGGGAGGAAGGGUUGUUUCCUAAUACGAAGCAAUUUUGACGUUACCGACAGAAUAAGCACCGGCUAACUCUGUG